rnacentral:rRNA from 1 species
UUCGGGAUGCCGGCGAGUGGCGAACGGGUGAGUAACGCGUGGAUACCUAUCCUAUAGUGGGGAAUAACGUUUAGAAAUGAACGCUAAUACCGCAUAAGCCCUUUGGGGGAAAGAUUUAUCGCUAUAGGAGGGGUCUGCGUCGGAUUAGCUAGUUGGUGGGGUAAAGGCCUACCAAGGCGACGAUCCGUAGCUGGUCUGAGAGGAUGAUCAGCCACACUGGGACUGAGACACGGCCCAGACUCCUACGGGAGGCAGCAGUGGGGAAUAUUGCGCAAUGGGGGAAACCCUGACGCAGCGACGCCGCGUGGGUGAAGAAGGCCUUAGGGUUGUAAAGCCCUUUCAGUAGGAAAGAUGAUGACGGUACCUACAGAAGAAGCUCCGGCUAACUCCGUGCCAGCAGCCGCGGUAAUACGGAGGGGGCUAGCGUUGUUCGGAAUUACUGGGCGUAAAGGGCGCGUAGGCGGUUAUGCAAG